UCUGUUUCCUGCAGGUGAUGUCAUUUCCUGCUAAUGGCUAUGGCAUGUACAACAUGGUGGGGAAGGCAUGGGAGUGGACAUCUGACUGGUGGACUGUUCACCACACUAAGGACGAUAAUACACAAACACAUUUAUUUUAUGUGGCACUUAUAUCUGUGAGGAUUUCCUCUUCUUCAUAUUCUGAUAUUUUCUCUCCUCUCUUUUACAGACAGGACCACCAUCAGGCAGAGACCAAGUGAAGAAAGGAGGCUCCUACAUGUCUCAUAAGGUGAUGUCAUUUCCUGCUAAUGGCUAUGGCAUGUACAACAUGGUGGGGAAGGCAUGGGAGUGGACAUCUGACUGGUGGACUGUUCACCACAAUAAGGACGAUAAUACACAAACACAUUUAUUUUAUGUGGCACUUAUAUCUGUGAGGAUUUCCUCUUCUUCAUGUUCUGAUAUUUUCUCUCCUCUCUUUUACAGACAGGACCACCAUCAGGCAGAGACCAAGUGAAGAAAGGAGGCUCCUACAUGUCUCAUAAGAAUUCGGGGCUGUAGUGGAGCGGGCCAAGAGUUUCAAGUUUCUUGGUAUUCACAUCACC